rnacentral:tRNA from 1 species
GGUGGGAUGGCUGAGAGGCCGAAAGCGCCGCACUCGAAAUGCGGUAUACCUGAAAGGGUAUCGUGAGUUCGAAUCUCACUCCCACCG